rnacentral:sRNA from 1 species
GCGAUGGAAUCGAGUGCAUUGAUUGUGGAGAUGGGGAGGAUAUACUACGAAAUGAUGGACAACUGGCAACAUUUUUCUGUAAAAACGAUAAUGUCGAGUUCCUUGUAUGGCACGAUGUGAAAUUCUAAUAAAGUAAUUAUUAAAUCAUUUUGCUUCUAGUUUGUUCCUCCGACUAAUCAAUAACAAUACAACCUGCUAAUAUUUUGUAUGACGCCAUUGUUUCUAUAAAAGUGACGCAUUGAAUUCUAUGACCGGGGCCUAAGUUUUCGACUGUUGAAUUUGUCUUCCACAAUAAAAAUUCAAAUGUCGCCUUCGCGGGCACUCGGAAAAUCUCAUGGCUCGUGAAAAAAUAAAUUGAACUGAUAAAGUGAUUUAGUUUGAACCAGGGGUGGGCGGCAAUUGCCGUCCGGCAAUUUUUUUCGAUAAAUUUGGUAAAUUGGAAAAUUGCCGAUUGAGUGAUUUGCCGGAAAUUUGUAUUUUCGGCAAAUUGCCGAUUUGCCGGUUGCCGAACAUCAAUUUGCCGGAAGUUUUUAGAGGAACUUUUUAUUAGACGAAAUACUUAAAACUGUGCCUUUUUGAAAAAAGGAUUUUUCCGUUUUUUCUAGAUAUUUUGAUAGAAUUUGCUUACUUUUUAAAAUAGAUGUAGGAGCAUUGAUAGGAUGCGUACAAUUUUGCCGCGAUUAAAAUUGAAAUUCCAAAAAAAGGUGCAAAACCACAAUUUGCCGAAAAUUUUCGGAAAUAGCCGGUUUUGCAAAUAGGCAAUUUUCCGAUUUGCCGAUUUGCCGGAAAUUUCAGUAUAGACAAUUUGCCGGAAAUUUCAAUCCCGGAAAUUUGCCGGAAAAAAUCGUUUGCCGUCCACGCCGGGGUUUAACAACAUUAUUAGAAAUACAUAUACAUUAGAGAAACUAAAAAAAAAUUAAACUUUGUAUAUGCAAAAAUCAAACAAUCUGAAAAAUUUCAUCAGAUGAUGAUUUCUUACCGCUAAUUACUCAAUAUUCCAGAGAAUGUAAGUGAGCGAUUCGGAAGAACAGCUUACCAGUCUCCGCUGUGUCACAACUUUGAUUCAAAACACUGAUCUCAACUUGCAAAACACAAUACUCUGGGGUUUGUUGGUCUAAACUGUUACAUUUGUCUUAAUUCAAUUUCUCAACCGGUUGAAAUUCAGUAAAAUAAAGUUUUGGCUUUUUUCUGACACACCUCCUGUCUCUCUUAUCAGUGCCAAGCUCCUUAUCAACCAGAAAAAAAGUCAGAACUACUCCUUUUGAAAUUCGAAAAUUGAUCAAAUUCCAGCAAAAAUUAUAUUUAAAAAAAAUGAAAAGCUAGCUGGAAUUUUUCAAUUAAUACAUAGGACUUGUCAAAAAAUUUUUGAACUGAAAUUCAAUUUGGUUAAAACUCCAAAAAUUGUCUCCCAAAUUCCAUUUUUAUACAAAUUUUUCAAUAAACGAAAAAUGUUCAGAAUCUCUCGGGUCUUAUACCUUAUUGCUUUCUCAAUUGGGUUAACGAUAUGCCACGUGUCAACUCCGAUGGUAGUUAGAAGACCACGAGAUGGUCUAGUGGCUGGUGACCCUGCGGAAGGACCCACUACAGAGGACAAGUACAUGAUUUAUUCGGACAUUACGCAGAAGGUCGAUCAUUUCUCGAACGGGACAAAUAAUGGAGUUUGGAGACAGGUGAGUGAACAUAAUUGCUCAUAAAAGCGAUCUACACAUGGAGGACAUGGUCUAGGAGUUUAAAGUUUAAACUACCAAACACCAAGGCGACCAGAAAAACAAAUUAAAUACUAUAAAGAUGUUAACAAAAACUACGAUAUUUAAAUUAUAGAGAUACCAAUACAACUCAAAAUUCUAUAACAAAACUACCGGAUACGUUUUCUUAAUGCUUGGAGGUGAAGGCUCUAUUAAUGUAACAAAUGGAGACAAGUGGGUCCGUCAUGAAGGAGAGACCAUGAUGAAAUGGGUGGCCGAGUUUCAAGCAGCCGCUUUUCAAGUCGAGCACAGAUUUUAUGGAUCUAAAGAAUAUUCCCCAAUUGGAGAUCAAACAACUGCAAGCAUGAAGCUUUUGACAAUUGAUCAGGCUCUUGCUGAUAUUAAAGAGUUUAUUACUCAAAUGAAUGCACUUUAUUUCAAAGAUGAUAAACCAAUUUGGGUGACAUUCGGAGGAUCAUAUCCUGGAUCAUUGUCUGCUUUCUUUAGAGAAACAUAUCCAGAAAUGACUGCAGGAGCUGUGUCGUCUUCUUCUGCUGUUCAUGUAUUUGUGGAUUAUUAUGGAUAUGUUAUUAACAACUUAUAAAACGUUGUAAACACAACAAAAAUUUACAACUCUUCCUCACGCCAAAAUUAAAAUAUGAACUCGGGCUUCUCUUACAAAAGAAAUCAAGGCAACGGUUUCGACCUUCACGUGAAACGUUGAUGUGGAUGACCCCCCCCUCCUAUAUUUCGAUAGGAUGGAAAAAAUUUUGAAAAAUAAUCAGUGUUUCUUUCCGAUGGAGCUUGAAGAAGUCCCCAAUCACAAUGAGGCGAGGCCGACAAUGAUUCAAUCUAAUCAAACAAAGAUGCAUCCAAUACUGAUCUGGUAAGAUUUUUGGAGUUAUUUUUGGCAAUCAUAAAUGUAUUCCUCUUGUAUUGAGUUUUGUUGUCAAUUACAUUGUGAUGAUUCAGGAUCCAGAUCAUAUACAAAUUUUUGAUGAGCUCUGCGGUGUUUGUGGGACUGUUUUCUACAAUUGUUCAACUUAUUGUUGGAAUAUUAUCAAUUAUCAAAUGGUCUAGCUUAGAAAUUAAUAAUGGAAAGAGAAAAUACUCCAUAGUGGUUUUUCGUAACAAGCUGCUCAUUCAAGGAGUGUCCACGUGUGUCUCAACUAUUGUGUUCUGGCUAGUUGUCUUGAUAUGUUUGGUUCGACAGCUAUGCAAAUCAGGAUGGAAGUGAGUUAAAUUCUGAACGUUAUCUCCAAUUUGUAUUUUGAAACCUCUAUUAAAGCCAAGUCCGGCUAACCCAAGAACCGUGCGGCGGCAAGGUCUUGGGCAUUGUGCACACAGCGCAGUUGAAUUUUCAUGUAUAUGCUGUACCUUCGUAUUAGACAUACAAAUGACGUAUUCGCGAAGUAAAAACGUUAAAAAUUCAUAAACCGCAAACUUUUAGACGCUAUUUAUGAAGUAUAUGCCAAUAAUAUAAGUUUCGGUAUGUCAUUUAUGUAUGUAUAAUAAACGCAUAACAAAUAGACCGUAUAUUAAAAUUCCAGUUAGCAGAAGAAUUAUAUUUUUUUAAGAUUUGAAGCGAUUCUGGUGUUCUCGGUCAAGUUCAGCUUUGAACUACUAGCGGUUCCUUGGUUUUUGUGUGUCAGUAUUGGUUUUUAAUGUUGGAUGGUAAGAAUUGAACUCGACAUACUUAAUCUUGAACACAUUUACAGAGGAGCCGAACUGGAAUUUAUUCGAAAUUUUUCUAUACCACCUUAUUUCUUCAUUUUUAGCUGUGACUGUUCUUUUCACAACUGUUUUCCCUUUUGGUUAGUUUCUCUCUCAUUUUCAUUAAAGAAGAAAAUUACCAGAAUAACUUACUAUUCAGAUUUUAAACCAAAUAUAACUUUUUCAAAAUACGAGAAUAUAUUUUUGAUUAUAUUAUGGGUUGUCAUUUUUCUGCUUCACUUCCUACCUUCUUAUUAUUCGAAGUGGUUUCCAGCCAACUACGUUAUUUCGCGUAAGUGUUCGAUAAAAACCUCACUAUCCAUAUAAGGUGUUUUGCAGCAGUCGUCAGCUUCUCUUCAAACAUUUGUUGUAUUCGAUUAUGCACGAUUUUAGCUAAUUGGCGAUAUAAGAAGUAAGAAGUUGAAAUUGCUAUAAUUAUCAAUCAACGUGGACUGCAAAUGUUAAACAUUAGAUAAAAUAUGUUUCGCUUUCAGAUCGGCGGGUGGAAAUGUGCCAUCUAAAAUGGACCGCAAUGUUAAUCCAAUUCAACAAGUUGCUACUGAUAACGGAAAUGGUGCCAUCGCUGUGGACCAAACUUCGAACGUUGCUACGGAUAGCGAUAAUGUUACCGUCAAUAUUAGUUCAACUCUUCAGCAGGAUGUGCUCAAAUGAACUAUUUAUUGCCAAAUAAGUCAUUUCGAUUUUGAUUUUUCAAUAAACUCGGGCAUUAAUUCAACUUUUCUUGGGAUCAGAUAUGUAUAACGCGCCCCCCGUUGUGCACUACUCAUGGACAACUAUUUUCUCAUGAUUUAAGUUUUUGGCUAAAAUUCUUAAUCUCGUUGUUUUCGUUUUUUGUGUUAACAUUAAAAUGAUGAAUUCAUAUUUUUAUAGUUUUUCCUAGGGCUCCCAGCUGACAAUCUCGUGAAUAACUACCGUACCCGAUACUUUAAGAUGACUCGCAUAUCCCCCUUAAACAAGCGGGCCCUGAGGGCCCGCUAGUCAAAUUAUUGAGAAACCAUAUGCACAGGACCACAAAACACCUAGUAUUCAGGCAUACUCUGCCAUUUGCCGACCAACUUUACAAUUAGCAGCAGAUGGGAUGUUUGGUGUGACCUCGCCAACUGCCUGAUAUACAUAAAUAUCGAUUAGUUUUUUGUUCAAAUUUUUUGUAUUGUGUUGUUUAAUGGUUAUUAAUUCUACGAUCAUUACAAUUCCUGCCAUUUAAUUAAUAAAAACAAUGAAAAUUAUCAAUGCGCUUUUUACCUAUCUCCGGAUAAGAUCUGAAGUAAGUGAUAAAACCAGUUUCAUACAUUAACUUCCGAUUUAUAGGUUAAACCAUUCAAAAUACUAAACUUGCCUAGUGUUGUCUUGGAAAAUGUUGUCAACCAGAUGGAUAUACAUUUAGUGUGAGUUUGGGAUAAAUUUGAAAAUUUUUAUUUUUUUGGAUAGAAUUUUACUCGUUCACACUUUUAUAGUUUUGUUAAUUAAUACAAAUUUUGCCAAAUUCUCGCGGUAAUUUUUCAUAAUCCCAUUCUAUCCAACUUGACUAAAAAAUAAUUCAAAAGAAAACCUAAUGCAUUUUCCUAAAGUUAUUCUUUUGCAGAAUAAAGCUAUCAAAAACAUCAAAGAAAAUGCAUUCAAACAUGAAAAACGCUAAAAGAAAGAUAUACAAGUUAAUUAUCGAUAAUCACCACGAAUACAAUAUUAAAAACCCUUGGCCCUCACUCGUCCAAAGAAUUUUACUUUUUGAAACUAAGAGUGACUUUCUUUUCGUAUAUCGUCAAAUGUGCAUGCGAAAGGAUAUAACUUCACAUUUAGCCAAGUACACUGUUGAUUUUUGGAUUGAAUGGUUCUAGUAAGUUUUGUUUAUUUAAUUAAGAUCUAUUAUUGUUUUAAUAGAAAACAAUUUAACGCGACUCCACAUUUAAAAACUUAUCAAAAACGGUUUUCAGCAAUACAACCAAAUUGGACAAUAUCCAUAAGAAAUCUAUAUUCAAUUUUAACAAUUCGAAGAAAUGUCUGACACUAUUAACUCGCUUUGAUGACUUGUUCUCGAUUGACCACGUGGAUUUAAUUAUUAAUACAGACAAACUUUUUGGGAGGUAUCGCUCAACAAUUAGACAUCCAUUGUUUCGAAAAUGUGAUUAUGUGGAGCUUGUUGGAAGAAAUUCGUUUUUGUCGAAUGAGGAUAUGUAUUUUGUAUUGAAGAAUUUCAAUUUGAAAAAUGGAUUCUUUACAGAUUGUAAAUUAUCGAAUGACUUCAAUAUGGCGGCUGUAAGUUUGAAAUGUUGUAUAUACUAUACUUUGUACGGUGACUUUUUAUGAACAAUUUCUACUUCUAGUUUGUGAGUUAUACUCAAUGGAAAUCAAAAAUAUCAUUUUAAAAAAUAUCUUCUCGGUUAACAGAAUCAAAUGUUUUGUAACUAAACGACAAUGUUGUCCGUUUCAUACUUUGAGUUUAUCUGAAAAAAUUUAUAUUGAAGAUGUUCAAAAUUCCCCGUCUGUGUAUUUUUCACGCUGGUGAUAUAACACUGAAACAUUUAUUGUCCAUGGAUUGCAAAGUCAUCAAACUUUGGAGACACCAGCUCCACCCACAACUUAUCAAUCAGUUUAUUUAUCAUUGGAUGAAAGGAGCAAUGCCCAAUUUACGAAGACUUCGCCUGAAUUUAUUUUGUGAUUUUAGACGGAUUGAUGAGAUGUUGAAUGGAGUUAAACGUUCAAAAUGGGACAAUAAACGGCGCCCAAGAAUAUUUUG